rnacentral:lncRNA from 1 species
CAAGGAAGCAAGAGAAUAAGCAGAUCAAGGAAAAGGCUCUGUUUGACUGUGAGCGUGGAGGAGCACCGAAGGCAACGACUGACCAGUUCAAAUGUGGCAGGUGUGGCCAGCGGAAGACGACUUACUAUCAACUCCAGACUCGGAGUGCUGAUGAACCGAUGACAACAUUUGUGACAUGUGUGAACUGCAACAAUCACUGGAAGUUCUGCUGAGUGGCCAUCCUGCUUAAAUGUUUGCGUAGUUGUGCUGAGCACCAGCCUGCUAAAAUGCGUGCUCUGCUAGCUAGGGCUGUCAUUUGAAUUUGACAGGACAGGUUGGACUCAGUUUUUCGUCCACUAGGAGCCUUUUUCCUCUUCCCUGCUUUUCGCUCUCUGCGAACCUGAUUUAUUCAGAUUGUACUAGUUGAACUCAUAAAUGUUGUUGACUUAAUUAUCAUCACCUGUUGUACCCAUCAGUUUUGGAUGGCUAUGUGGUUCAUUGUAAAUGAGAUCGUGC